ensembl:lncRNA
UGCCAUCUGGCCAGACUAAUAAAGGUCUGUUUUACUUUCCAACUUGUGCGGUGUGUUCCCUCCCGGGUGAUCUUCGCUGUAGUCAGCUCCUCGGAGCGUUUGGUAAGGCCCUCAGUCUUACACCACCACAUCUGGCUCCCAUUGUCUUUUGAUGUUCCCACAAGACUGAACCCAAUUCAGACGCUAACAGCUAGCUUGAACCUCCUGUACUUUUGACCAACUGGCUACAAGUGAAGUGUUCCCACGACCCCCUCCUCAAGUUAAAGAAUUUCCUACAAUGGCUCGAAGAACUCUGGGAAAUGGUUUACUUAACUACCACUGGUAACUAUACAGCACGCAGCUCAGAACAGCCAACAGGAAGUGAUCCACAGGUCAAGGUAGGGGGGUGAGGGUCCCUGCCCCUUCCAGACCCGAACCCCCACCAACCUCCACAAGGUCAUGAUGCCAGAAGCUAUGGAAGUAUCCUGUCCUGAAGGGUUCUAGGAAGGUUAAGGUUACAUUAUCCAGGUAUGGUUGUUUGAGUCUUUGGCCCUCUUUCCUUCCUGGAUGUAUGGGGUGGGGCUGAAGGUGUCCACCCUCUAAGCACAUGUUGAUCCUUCUAGCAAUGGGUGCCAUCUUCCAAGGGGCUCACCAUGAAUAACAAAAGAUGCUCCUUUCUCCCCAUCACUCGGGGAACUGCACGGUUGCAGAAGCUCUGGGCCAGGGAUGGGUGAAGGCCAGACAUCUAUUCCUUGUUGUACCACAAGGCUCAUCUGGAGUCAUCCCUCUUCCAAGCUCACUCGAUGGUGGGUGGCUGCACCAAGGCCUUGGUGGGCUGAGGAGAGAGGGCCUCAGUUUCUCCCAAGCUGUUCCCAGGAGGCCUCUCUCAGCUCCCUUCCAUCUGGCCCACUCACAAAUGGCACCAGCUUCAUCAGAAUGAGGCAACCAGAAGAGCCAAUGAGGAUGGACAUCCUCAAGAUGCAGUCCCUGGCCUUUAUGUUCUACUUUCAAAAGCAACUUCUGUCACUCUUGCUGGUAAACAGGACAGAGAGCCCCAAGACUGUCUCCCAGGCUCUGAGAAGUCCAGUGAUUUUCUGCACACCUGCACUGACCAUCCUUGGACACUAGUCAUACAUAUUUCUUAUGAUCAUGGCCUCCUUUUCAAUACCUACAUGAGCCUAAUUCCUUUCCCAGUUAGCUCCUGAUAAUUCUCAAUGUGAGCCAAUCCACACAUGGAUGAAAUCUCUCCCAGUUAGCUGCUGCUAUUUCUCUUUCCCAAUGUUAGCUCAUCCACACACAGAUGUAAUAAACCCAGUUCUUCCCAGCUGGCUGCUGAAAUCUACCUCUGAUUUCUGUCUCUGUUCACUGG